UAGGGAAUAUUGGACAAUGGGUGAGAGCCUGAUCCAGCCAUGCCGCGUGCAGGAAGAAGGCGUUAUGCGUUGUAAACUGCUUUUUGCCAGGGGAUAAAAAGACCGUGCGCGGUUAAUUGAAGGUACCUGGUGAAUAAGCCACGGCUAACUACGUGCCAGCAGCCGCGGUAAUACGUAGGUGGCAAGCGUUGUCCGGAUUUAUUGGGUUUAAAGGGUGCGUAGGUGGCCCUGUAAGUCAGUGGUGAAAUAUCUCAGCUUAACUGAGAGGGUGCCAUUGAUACUGCAGGGCUUGAGUACAGAUGAGGUAGGCGGAAUUGACGGUGUAGCGGUGAAAUGCAUAGAUAUCGUCAAGAACACCGAUAGCGAAGGCAGCUUACCAAGCUGUAACUGACACUGAGGCACGAAAGUGUGGGGAUCAAACAGGAUUAGAUACCCGAGUAGUCCCUGAGCGGGCUGGCAAGGCGCAU
rnacentral:rRNA from 1 species